rnacentral:tRNA from 1 species
AGGGGUGUAGUUCAGUGGUAGAGCACUUGCCUAGUAUGCACAAGACCCUGGGUUCCAUCCCCAGCAUCACAC